rnacentral:misc_RNA from 1 species
GGCCAAUCUCAUGUUCUUCUAUUUUGAAGGGCUUUAUUAUCAUAUAUCAAAACGUGCUGCAGGCAUACACUAUGUGUUCAUUGGAAAACCUAUGAACCAGCGACCUAGAUAUCAAAUACUAGGGGUCUUCCUUCUAAUUCAAUUAUGUAUUCUUGCUGCUGAAGGUCUGAGACGUAGUAGUUUAUCAUCGGUUUCAACUUCUGCUCAACAAGCACCCUUUGGAACCUAUCAAACUUCUGCAGGCCGAGGUUUACCAGUUUUAAAUGAGGAAGGCAAUCUAAUAACUGCAGAAACUGAGAAGUAUGGAUUGGUUGCUGAAUCCACAUCAACCUCAGAGUCUCAAGGAAACAGUCCAAGCAAAUGCACACUUUGCCUAAGCAGCCGCCAACAUCCAACAGCCACACCUUGUGGUCAUGUAUUUUGCUGGAACUGCAUAAUGGAAUGGUGCAAUGAA